GUGAAGAUGCAGUGUACCCGCGGCAAGACGGAAAGACCCCGUGAACCUUUACUAUAGCUUGACACUGAACAUUGAGCCUUGAUGUGUAGGAUAGGUGGGAGGCUUUGAAGCGUGGACGCCAGUCUGCGUGGAGCCGACCUUGAAAUACCACCCUUUAAUGUUUGAUGUUCUAACGUGGAUCCGUAAUCCGGGUUGCGGACAGUGUCUGGUGGGUAGUUUGACUGGGGCGGUCUCCUCCUAAAGAGUAACGGAGGAGCACGAAGGUUGGCUAAUCCUGGUCGGACAUCAGGAGGUUAGUGCAAUGGCAUAAGCCAGCUUGACUGCGAGCGUGACGGCGCGAGCAGGUGCGAAAGCAGGUCAUAGUGAUCCGGUGGUUCUGAAUGGAAGGGCCAUCGCUCAACGGAUAAAAGGUACUCCGGGGAUAACAGGCUGAUACCGCCCAAGAGUUCAUAUCGACGGCGGUGUUUGGCACCUCGAUGUCGGCUCAUCACAUCCUGGGGCUGAAGUAGGUCCCAAGGGUAUGGCUGUUCGCCAUUUAAAGUGGUACGCGAGCUGGGUUUAGAACGUCGUGAGACAGUUCGGUCCCUAUCUGCCGUGGGCGCUGGAGAACUGAGGGGGGCUGCUCCUAGUACGAGAGGACCGGAGUGGACGCAUCACUGGUGUUCGGGUUGUCAUGCCAAUGGCACUGCCCGGUAGCUAAAUGCGGAAGAGAUAAGUGCUGAAAGCAUCUAAGCACGAAACUUGCCCCGAGAUGAGUUCUCCCUGAGACUUAGAGUCUCCUGAAGGAACGUUGAAGACGACGACGUUGAUAGGCCGGGUGUGUAAGCGCAGCGAUGCGUUGAGCUAACCGGUACUAAUGAACCGUGAGGCUUAACCUUACAACGCCGAAG
rnacentral:rRNA from 1 species